AAUACCCGCGACGCUCGGAUCGGAGUCUGACGAUGGUCAGCAGGUGGCACUCUCGUUUUAGGAUUCCAGCCCCUAAAGUAAAUACUGAAAAGUCAAAGGACCUGUCAAGAUCAUCGGCCAUGACAGUGGCUGGAUGGAGGCCACCUCAUCCAUCUGGUCCUGGCAUUUCUGAGAAAGGACCAUGCUGAACCAUGCAGAGCAAAUUUGCAAGGUUAUAAUUCUUUGAUUUGGGUAAAGUGUCUGGUGUUGGAGCUGAGAGGCAUCAAUGGAUAAUACUUUUUAUGCUAUUUGCUCUUCUUUAGUGCUAUCUCAUGGACUGCCUCAUUGGUUGUCACAAUAAUACUGUGAGUUGGGAUUCCAUUUGAGAACCAACUCUAGUCAGCCUUCAGGCUGGUCCAUGAUCAAGGACCUACAAGACGAAGUGACAGCCCAGUGACUCUACAAGUUCACCUGUCCCUCAUCUCCACAGCCCUGCAGCAUCAAUGGGCAUGCUGUGAAUGCUGGAGGACUGACCAGCAUGCCCCGAUUGUUCUCUAUUACUUGGAGUGUUAAGUCUUAUCUCCUUGGCUAGAUUGAAAGAAUCGGGAAUAGAAGCUAUAUGCUAGAAAGCCAUGCACAGCCAGCCACUGUGGCUGUCCUACCUGGUAGCCCAGCUCACAUGAGACUGACCCAGGACACCACGGGACCACUCCAGACCCCCUGUUAACCUUUCCUGGCACAUCCAAGCAAAGGGCUGAUACUCACUGCAAGGUGGUGCCCCACCUUUCCACAGCCCAUCACCACCACCACCCUCUUCUCCAGAAUCUAGCUCUUUAGGCUAAUAUGGAAAUGAAGAAAAGAGGAUUUGUCCACGCAUGUGACUGAGGAGAUAGUUGGAGAGAUGGUCUUAGGGAAAGGUGGGUACAGUGAGGCAAAUGUCACCGUUUUCUCUCUCUCUCUCUCUCUCCCAGUCUAUCUUUGCUUAUCUUCGUAAAUUGGCUUCUUUCCCUCACCCUAAUCCAAACAGAUUAGAUCUAUUUGUCAUGGGGUACUGCUAAAACCAGGCUUAUGUCCUGUCAAGAGUAGCAACCCCAGAGGAAAGAGCCGCUCACUCCUGCUUCAGUAUAGAGAAUUCCCAGGGCCAAUUCUCAUUGGCCCAGCUUGGGUGACAUUUCCCUACUUUGACCUGUCAUCAGGUGUGAGGCUGGUGUUAGGAUUUUGCAGGGCGGUUAGUCGGGUGUUCAGGAAUAUGAUUGGAAUCCCCACCACAAACCCAGAAUCAACAGGAGCUGGGGCAAAUCAACAGGAGCUGGGGCAAAUCAGCAGGAACUGGGGCAAGGCAGUCUUCCAAAGGAAGGGACUAUUGAUGAUGCAGACACCAACUGUCUACCAUGAUGGUUUGUUCUGAAGAGUAACAUAUGAUUUGUGCAGCAGAAUUCCUCAUAAUAAUGAAGAAAACAAUGAGAGAUCAUGAAUGUUUGACCCCAUAUAUACACACACGUCUGCACAACUACCUACUGGCAAAUUCUCCUGGGGUGAGCAGUGGAAUUCAGUUCAGAAGUGAUCUUUUUUGGCAGAAACAAGUCAGGAGGAAUUCUACGUGAACACCAUCGGCCCUUGGUGUUAUGCCUGGCUCAAGCCAGCAUUAUCUGUCAUUCAGUUUCAGGAGCAUCUGACACACCUUUUCAUGCUGAGAGCUAAUUGCCCUAUUUUCAAACCUGGACCUGUCCCUCCAGUGAUAUUUUUCCAAUUGCAGUGAUAUAUUUGUGUAGCCAGCAAGCACUGCCAAAGCUAUAGCUAUUCUGGAGUGUCGUUGGGGUAGGGAGCAGGGGAAUUAUGCAGCAAUACAGUAAACAAAAGUAAAGCCUCU
rnacentral:lncRNA from 10 species